CCAAUCACGAACGUGCAUUCAGCGGUCAUGUUUAUGAAGACGAACCACCGUCGUCUGCGUGUUGUGAUUGAACCAUUGAACGUCCCCGCGUCGUAAAUGGGAAAACUUGGAAGGAAAGUGCAAAAUGGUCUCAACCUUUCUCAAAACUGAUUUUCUGGAACGCGUCUUGCGCUAGGGUUUUCGGCUCUGUGUUGGCGGUUGUGUCAGGUUUGUUUGUGUUUGUGUGUGUGUCAGUCUGUCUGUGUUCGUGUGUGUAUGACAUAGACAAUUCGUGAAGAACUUGUGUUUGAGAAAUUGCAUCUGUGUGCGACAUUCUAGAACUCCCUGAUGUUAGCGCUAUGAAGCAACAGUGGCUAUGAAUGGCGUGCAUAGUAUGUGGACAGAUGGAGACAGGACCGCAGGAAGGAGUGGGGAACGGGGUGCUAGACUACUCAACGCUGAACUAAGUUCAAUAGAUCACGUCGCACGGGGAGGAGAUUUAAACUUCGCGAAGUUCGAGACAAAUGUUUCCCUUUCCCGGCAACUGAAGUUGGGUCUGCGUCAGCGCUGAUGAAAAUCAGUGUGUGAGCGACCCACCCACUGGCACGAGCGUGAUAGGACGGAGAAAGAGAAUUCCACUCUGGUGGAGGCUGGAAUGUACAGCAAUAUAUCCUUGAAGGCUUCAAGGUCAAAUCGUACAUCAUGGAAUAUAUGUGAGCGGCACAAACAUUAAGAUAUUUUGGAUAUCAAAGCGAAUGACUCUUUGUCUCGAAUCGAAUACGGAAUUCUAUGUUUGAAUUUUGAAUCGAAUCAACGUUUCUUUCAAAACUAACACAUAUACACGUAGUUCCGAACCCAUUCACCCAAAACAAGCAAAAAAUUUUGUACGUAUUGUUUGGAAAUCCGCACGCAUGUGAGGUAUAGCUCACUGUACCAAACCAUCGUCGUUUUCGGAAUUCCCACACAACACAUUCGAUUUCCCAAAAUGCAGAACAGUGCCGACGCUUGCGAAACUCCGAAACUUGGCAAGGCCCUAACAACAUAUCACCGUUCUGGGUCAUAUGGGUUCAUUCAUAGGCCUGGUCCUAUGCAUAAGCCAUAUGGGUUCUGCACACGCUUUCAAUGGAAAAAUCGUGAAGCUUUCAGGACUCAUGUAAUACACGGAGGCCUAGGCCCCGUAGGAGUGUGUCUUCUUCCGUUCUGGAGCCUAUCUACAGAGAGGCCCACCAGCGAGCACCACCACUGCCCUAUCCCAUCUUGUUACUCUGCCAUAAAAUGGGAGACACUCUUUAAGAAUUUGGGAAAAAUAUUUAUUUUACAUAAAAGUAACGGGACAAAGGUGAAGCCAGCGUCAACGCAGGGUAUCACAGCAUAAAUUGAAGCAAGCUGGCCAACACAUUUCGCUCAAAAUGCUUGUAAACAUGUACAAUAUGUAUAAAUAAACAUUGCUUUACAACUAUGCCUUAAAUAAUUAAAAUUGCAUGAAUGCAACAGUAAAUGUAACACGCUGCUGGUAGCCUUAGCGUAGCGUGCUUGCAGAAAUGCUGCUCAGAGCAAUGGUGACCAGGCACUGCAUUAGAAAUUUUAAAAUUCUAAGUAGUAAGUAUAUAAGUAGACUAGAAAAGGUCUCAGGUAUGCGAACAUAUGCCGCCGCUCCGCUAAACUACUACGAGAUGAGGUCGUCAAGAACACGUCUGUCUAAAUUCAUUUUUCCAAAUGGUCAUUAAAAAUGCUGGGACGGCAUUACUGCUCACUGGAACCUUUAAAUUUGAAGAACAGGAGACUUCGCUACUGCCGGGCUACGAAUUCAUGCGGUGUCUUCUAGAAAUGUGUGGUGGGUGGUCUUCUGUCGCGGCGCACUUGACGAUAGGGGGCCGCCACUUUCUGCUCCGCGGUGAAAGAGAUGUCUCUUAGUAGAACCAACGAACCAACCAGCUUGGUCCCGCUCCCUUUGGAACGUCGCUAUUAAAGGGAAGUAGAAGAAGAAGCUCCGCACUCUCUUCCGUUGAAGCAUGUAGUCUUCAGUGCUCCAUGUGACGAUGCUGAGCUGCAUUUGUCCGAAUAACAUUCACAAAGAACAAGGUUCAAGCGUGAGUGAAACUAACACGUAAUCACAUGUAACACGGUAUCGAAGUUCUAUGGGAACUUUAUAGGUAGGGGGUGCUUUUUUUUGGUUAAACCCGAUUCCGCCCCCCACGAAAUGACCUCCGACCAAUUCGGGUCAAACCCGAUCGCUCCCCGAAUUCCAGUCACUAUGACAUCUUCGAGUGACGUUUCCACUGAAGACGAACAAAGGUUGCCACGUGUAACACAUGUAAGAAUGGGUCACUUACGUUCCCAGCAAUACACCAAUGUGUGUCAACACUGUCUAUGCCUUCGAGGAUUAUCGCUGGAAGGUCACGAUCCCCCCCCCCCCCCCCCAAAAAAAAAAAAAAAAAACGAGAAAGAGAGAUUAGGAAAGGACUUAAUAGACAAGAGGAUAAACAAAAACACCCAAUAACACCCGAAGGCACAAUUAUCGCCCGAUUUUCCCCGGAAUUACAGAUUUAAAAAAUAGCGCCCAAUUUUUAACCCCGAAAUCUGAGAAAGGCAUUUAACCCAAAAAAUUCGCUCCCUACUUUUGGGGGUUGAGGAAUCAACACCCCCAAACCCACCUUCCUGAACCAGCCAAUGACAUAACACUUAGUAGGCAUUAAAAAGGCGGCAAGACGUCGAGAUAUCUCCAUUAAUUAGACACUACUGCACUACUGCACGAGCAACCAUAUUUCUAAUGGCCACCAAGCUAAUGACAAAUUUGAAAGUGCCCUAAUGUGAUUAUUCUCCGCAUUUUUAAAUUGGUGCAGGUAAAAAAAAAAAAAAAAACACCCUGCGUAUAUUGCGGUAUCGUUAAUUUCCACCGACUCUACAUUGAUUUCGCAUCACGCAAAGGUGGCACACAAAGUGCGAAAAGGAUUUUAAAAAAAAAUUGCACACGACGGUGAGGAGGUUCACAAGCCUACGAAAAAGCCUUACCUAAUGGGGGACGUGGUUAACGGGUCUGAGGAGUUCGGCCAGUUCGUCCAGUUCUGCUCUGCUGCCGCGCAUGUAGACCAUGGUCUCCCAGAGGACGCGCACCAAGAGCCGAUUGUCCGUCUCGUUCAGGCACAUGUCCUCCGAGAUGGGAGCGUUGAGGCGAAAGUAGGGCACGUUUAUCGCACUGCACCACGCUUGGGCACGGUCCACCAGACGUCCGUUGGCCUGGGUCGCCUGGUCCACUAUCAGCUGUCCCAGGGCCUUGGCUCCAAAGGCCAUCUUGGCAGCGCCCAGGAUGCCCGUUCCCAUGUGCAGCAUGUCUAUCACGGUCACUGGAACCGUCGGCACUUUACCCGUACCCACCGACACAAUCACUUCCAUCGGCUCUACGUGUUCUUCCUGGCCCUGGGGAACGAGGAAAAACGAGCUCCCACAUAUUUAUGGGGGAAGGAUUGUUUAUGGAAAAUAGCGGGGAAAAUGGCAAUAUGCUGUGUAAGUAGGGCCUGACUUUUCGGGGUUAUACCCGAUUACCCCCCAAUAUUUACCUCCUGAUUGAAAUCAGGAAAAACAGGGUUUAACCCGUAGAUGGGUAGAAAUCCAGCGAACCGGUAGAGAUGUAGGAAGGAAGUUGCCUCAGGACAGAAGCCGCCGAUAUUUCGAACAGAGACUGUUCUUCUUCUGGGCACCGUCCUCAUCAUUGGCAUGGUAUUUAAAGGGUUAGGUGUGACGUGUUUAAAGGUUCAUGCGAAUUGUGGGUCAACAGCCCGGAGGGAAGAAAGGGUCCCUGCGGGCUUCUACGGCCGGAGUGAAUGGCUGCUCUGUUAGGGUGUGGAGGGGAUUAUGUGAACAUAGUGAUCUAGGCUACAGACCGGUUACAGAAAAUGGAAGGUUCACGGAGGGUUUAACCCGGUAUUUCCCCAAAAACUGCUGGACCAGGAGAAUCUGAAGUCAUCACAACUAACACAGAACUUUGAAAACUGUGUUGUAAAUGCAUAAAUAUGCUCAUAUAAACUGUCAAAACGGAGACCUGGCUGCCUCUUAGAUGCAUAGACUAAAUAUUGAUACUCUCUAUCUACUGGUGUGUCAUGUGUAUUAUGCCAAGUAAACCAAAGAUUCAUUGCUAUUCCAACCCAAUUCAACCAGAAUUAAGUUGAAUCAGGUUCAGUUCAACCCAAUUACACCCGAAUUAUUGAAGCAAAAUAUAACCCGAUAUUUACCCCCUCCCCCCAUUUUGCUGGAAAAUAUAACCCAAAAAAGUCAGGCCCUAUAUGUAAGUAGAUCAGCGUUCUGUACAUCUCCCCAGUUUCCCUCUUUCCCCUGUUAUCCAUGGAGCGACCUCAUUGGUCCCUUUCCCAAACAAGGGGGGGUAACAGCUCAAGGUUAGGCACACGCGGUCUCUUCUGCGAAUCUAAGCAGAGUACCGUGGAUGAGUUGCUGUCUUGCAAGCGGACAGACAUUUUGCCACAUGCCCAAUUUUUACCCUCCCAAAUGCUCAGACAAACUCAGAUGCUGUAUACACUCGGCCAUGCCACAAGCACGGAUUAUUUAACUGGGAGCCCUGUCUGAUAGUGAUAUAUCUGCCAAGUGAAGCUUUACUUGUGUUCUAAGAUAACACGUGUGAAAUGGCAGUACCGUAGCCUUGAGCGCCGCGUUGUAUUCGAUGAUCUCCGUCAUGGUGUCCAGCGUGGGAUUGUUGGAAAUGAGGCCCCCGUCCAGGAACCGUCCGAAGGGCCGGAAGUAAGUUGGGGCUGCUCCAGACGCACGCGCCGCUCGCCACACUAAUUGCUCUGUCAGCAUAAAUGAAAGCCACAUAUAUAAGUGGUACAAAUUUUGUCACGAGCUUUCCAUGAUGAAGUACUAAAUCUGUAACAAAGUGAGACUGAACAGAACAGGCUAGUAUAGUCAAAGGCAUGUAUAGUCAAAUCCAUAUCAUUGCUCCAUAUGUCACGAACAAAAGUUUUUAUGUCUGCCGUUGCACUAUAUCUUGGCGAAACCCCACAUAAUUAGGGCCGUGCAUUUUCAGGUUUUAUGUUGUUUCGAAAAUCUGGGGUAAAAAAAAAUUGGGGUUUAUCUCGGGAGCCGUAAAGCAGGCUGCAAUCGGGUGAUAUCGGGUGGAGAAAAAAAGUGCGCUUGUCGCAUUUUUAUCAACGUAAGAUGCGGAACAGCCAUGUUGAAUAUGCAGCGCAUAGCAUUCCGUUGUGCCUGUAUCACUAGCUGAAUGGGGACUUUGUCAAGUUAGUUUUCAGAAUUUUUCCAGAUUUACCCGACUGAUAAUGAUACAAAUCAUGGAAGGUAAAAACGGGUUUUAGCCUAAAACGUAGGGUUCUCUAUAUAAUCCACACAGAACAUACAUCAGAACUUUAGAACAUACCACAAGGGUGUGGUGGUGCAGGUGCAGGAAACUCUGAGUUGUUCUCCUCCCACCCCAAUAUAGUCUUUGGAGAAUCAUAGUUUCGAAACAGGUGUAGCGCAGCAGGAUGUCUGUCCGCCAUGACACCCGUAACGAUCAGCCUGCAGGAGACAUCGUAAAAGUUCCGCCAAGGUCUGCACGCCUGUUCGACUUACUUUGGAUGCGUAAUGUCGGUCAUCACCGUGUUUUCACCCAUUUCACGCUGAAGAAACCUUUCCAGGGAAUCAGCGUCGUGCGGUCGGCUGCCGAUGAACACCUUGUCCUUGAGGCCAAAAUAGAGUUGGAGACAUCUUCGUGGUGUUUUACCUAAAGGUGGACAGUCAGUGCGGGCAGUCAACCUCUAGCUGCUCAUUGAAACGAAAGACCAAGGCUCGUUAGCACAAAAACUGAGCAAGGCACCUAUCCGUAAGGAACUUUCUUCGUUAUCUUCCAGCUUGUGCCAAACACACUGUCAAAGCUGUGGCUGAGGGUUUUCCCUUACGUGAGGCUCCUAGCACAAUCUUUGAACAAACAGGCCCAGAGCUUUAAGACAGGCAGCUGUAUGUUUAGGGCCCUGUGUUUUAGGGUGAAACCAGAUAAAACCCAUUUUUAUCCCCCCCCUCCCCCUCGAUUUGAAUCAUCCUCCCUUAGAGUAAAAAAAAAAAAUAAGGAAAGCUGACUUGGCAACGUGCGAAUUAAUGGCAACAUGGCCUGGCACUUGGAAAUUGCUCGAUCAAGUGGUCAUUGCCAGGAAUCUAGCUGUUUCAGCCACCUGUGUCACACUGGGGACUUCGCGGCUGCUCUUCUUUAGGUUUCGUCGUCUGCUAACCCAUAUGAACUUUGACGUGUAGGCCAAUGUGCUCAGCCCAUGUGUCUCCCAUACUGCAUGAGCUGUGUCGCCGUACGCCACGAAUCACGUGCCCUUUUCAAAAGUAUCCACGUAUCUACGUGAUUGGAUAUGUUUUUUUUAAUGUGUACCAUAUAUGCAUGACUGGAAGGAUACCCUUUUCAAAAUAUGUACCGUAUCUACAUGAUUGGAAGAUAUGCUUUUCUAUGAAUAUGUACCAGAUAAACAUGAGUGGAAGGUUACCCUUUUCAAGAUAUUUACCGUAUCUACAUGAUUGGAAGAUAUACUUUUUUAUAAAUAUCUACCGUACAUGCACGAUUGGAAGGUUAUCCUUUUCAAAAUAUGUACCCUAUCGACAUGAUUGGAAGAUACGCUGUUUUCCAAAUAUGUAGUGCGUUUGCGUGACUGGAAGAUGAGCAUUUAAAUAAAUGCAACCCCAACUUGGA